GGCUUAUCAAGAGAGGUGAAGGGACUGGCCCGACGAAACCCGGCAACCAGAAAUGGUGCCAAUUCCUGCAGCGGAAACGUUGAAAGAUGAGCCGA
ncrna:SAM-I RIBOSWITCH from Caldanaerobacter subterraneus (PDB 2YGH, chain A)